CAACAAUGGAUCUCUUGGUUCCGGCAUCGAUGAAGAACGCAGCGAACUGCGAUAAGUAAUGUGAAUUGCAGAAUUCAGUGAAUCAUCGAGUCUUUGAACGCACAUUGCGCCCCCUGGCAUUCCGGGGGGCAUGCCUGUCCGAGCGUCAUUGCUGCCCAUCAAGCCCGGCUUGUGUGUUGGGUCGUCGUCCCCCCCGGGGGACGGGCCCGAAAGGCAGCGGCGGCACCGUGUCCGGUCCUCGAGCGUAUGGGGCUUUGUCACCCGCUCGAUUAGGGCCGGCCGGGCGCCAGCCGACGUCUCCAACCAUUUUCUUCAGGUUGACCUCGGAUCAGGUAGGGAUACCCGCUGAACUUAA
rnacentral:sRNA from 1 species